CAGGGAAUAUAUGUAUGUUGUGUGAAAUAUCUGUGUGCACUAUUAAUUUUUAAGAGUCAACAGAGUCCCACAAUCUUUUGGGUGGAGUUUGGUGAGAAUGGGUACAGCAGUGGGAGGCCAUGUAUCCACAAAUCUUAUUUUGUAUAUGAUCACUAACAGUCAUAUAACUGACAGUCAUAAUGGUUUUGUUUUAUCUCACUGUUUUGGCACUUCUUACAGAGAGUGUUUUUGCGAAUGCAAUAACAGCCCUGUCUUCCGAAAAUAAUGCUUUUGAAGGAGGAAAAGCGACUGUUUCAUGCAACUACAGUGGAAGUAGCAUUCAGAGUUGGCAGUGGUACAGACAGUAUCCCAACACUGCCCCUGAAUUUCUCUUGCAAGCUUUUGAAAGUUUGGGUCAAGCGCAGAAGGACCGUCAUGUUGCUGAAGCUCAAAAAGACAAAAAUCAUCUGAACCUGGAGAUCUCCAAAACUGAGGUGGCAGAUACUGCAAUAUACUACUGUGCCCUGGUGUCCACAGUAACAGGAAACCCUCCAACACUGUACAAAAACAUGAGAUGAGGAGGAAUUCAUUUUAUUUACAUGUUUAGCUAAUUUUCUAAAACUUUUAAUGAUAUCCCAAAUAAUAUUCUUCUAAUGUCAAAGUGUUCGUCACACAGAGACAGUAUUUAUCAGAGAAAAUGUAGAUUUAGAGGGCGGAGCUCUCUCACUAAGAUGCUGAUUCAAAGUCUCUCUACUUUCACUGACUUCUCUGAAGAUCAUCCAUCAUGUUUCUCUUUUGUUGGACAGUUUCAUUAUUCUUCGGUAUUUCUUUUGCGAACACAAUAGAACCAUUAUCCUCUGAAAAGCAUGUUUUCAGAGGUGAAAGCGUGGUUCUUUCUUGUAAGUACAGUGGCAACGUAGAUAAUCUGCAGUGGUAUCGUCAAUAUCCUGGAUCUCGACCAGAGCACCUCAUUCUCAUCACAGAAUAUUCAGAACCUGAUCUUUCACGUCGUCUGUCAGCAAAAGCUACAAAAGACCUAAAACAAGUGAAUCUUACAAUCUCCUCUGCUGAAGAGACAGAUUCUGCUCUGUACUACUGUGCCCU